rnacentral:rRNA from 1 species
UACGUAGGUGGCAAGCGUUGUCCGGAUUUACUGGGCGUAAAGAGCGCGCAGGCGGUCGUUCAAGUCGCGUGUGAAAGCCCCCGGCUCAACUGGGGAGGGUCACGCGAUACUGAUCGACUCGAAGGCAGGAGAGGGUAGUGGAAUUCCCGGUGUAGUGGUGAAAUGCGUAGAUAUCGGGAGGAACACCAGUGGCGAAGGCGAGUCCCUGGACAACUCCUGACACUGAGGCACGAAAGCUAGGGGAGCAAACAGG